AGCAGCCGCGGUAAUUCCAGCUCCAAUAGCGUAUAUUAAAGUUGUUGCAGUUAAAAAGCUCGUAGUUGAAUUUCGGGGUCAGUAGGUUGGUCGUGCCAAUGGUAUGUACUGGCUUUACUGAUUCCUCCUUCUUGAAGAACUGUAAUGCCAUUAAUUUGGUGUUGCAGGGAAUCAGGACUGUUACUUUGAAAAAAUUAGAGUGUUUAAAGCAGGCUUACGCUUGAAUACAUUAGCAUGGAGUAAUGAAAUAGGACGUUGAUCUUAUUUUGUUGGUUUCUAGGAUUGACGUAAUGAUUAAUAGGGAUAGUUGGGGGCAUUAGUAUUCAAUUGUCAGAGGUGAAAUUCUUGGAUUUAUUGAAGACUAACUGCUGCGAAAGCAUUUGCCAAGGAUGUUUUCAUUAAUCAAGAACGAAAGUUAGGGGAUCGAAGACGAUCAGAUACCGUCGUAGUCUUAACCAUAAACUAUGCCGACUAGGGAUCGGAUGAUGUUAAUUUUUAAUGA
rnacentral:rRNA from 1 species